CCUACGGGAGGCAGCAGUGGGGAAUAUUGGACAAUGGGGGGAACCCUGAUCCAGCCAUGCCGCGUGUGUGAAGAAGGCCCUCGGGUUGUAAAGCACUUUCAGUGAGGAAGAACGCCUGGUGGUUAAUACCCGUCAGGAAAGACAUCACUCACAGAAGAAGCACCGGCUAACUCCGUGCCAGCAGCCGCGGUAAUACGGAGGGUGCGAGCGUUAAUCGGAAUUACUGGGCGUAAAGCGCGCGUAGGUGGCUUGAUAAGCCGGUUGUGAAAGCCCCGGGCUCAACCUGGGAACGGCAUCCGGAACUGUCAAGCUAGAGUGCAGGAGAGGAAGGUAGAAUUCCCGGUGUAGCGGUGAAAUGCGUAGAGAUCUGGAGGAAUACCAGUGGCGAAGGCGGCCUUCUGGACUGAAACUGACACUGAGGUGCGAAAGCGUGGGUAGCAAACAGGAUUAGAUACCCUAGUAGUC
rnacentral:rRNA from 1 species